rnacentral:rRNA from 1 species
AGUGAACGCUGGCGGUAGGCCUAACACAUGCAAGUCGAACGGCAGCACAGAGGAGCUUGCUCCUUGGGUGGCGAGUGGCGGACGGGUGAGGAAUACAUCGGAAUCUACUCUGUCGUGGGGGAUAACGUAGGGAAACUUACGCUAAUACCGCAUACGACCUACGGGUGAAAGCAGGGGACCUUCGGGCCUUGCGCGAUUGAAUGAGCCGAUGUCGGAUUAGCGAGUUGGGGGGGUAAAGGCCCACCAAGGCAACGAUCCGUAGCUGGUCUGAGAGGAUGAUCAGCCACACUGGAACUGAGACACGGUCCAGACUCCUACGGGAGGCAGCAGUGGGGAAUAUUGGACAAUGGGCGCAAGCCUGAUCCAGCCAUACCGCGUGGGUGAAGAAGGCCUUCGGGUUGUAAAGCCCUUUUGUUGGGAAAGAAAUCCAGCUGGCUAAUACCCGGUUGGGAUGACGGUACCCAAAGAAUAAGCACCGGCUAACUUCGUGCCAGCAGCCGCCGUAA